UGAGUAACACGUAUCCAACCUGCCGUCUACUCUUGGACAGCCUUCUGAAAGGAAGAUUAAUACAAGAUGGCAUCAUGAGUCCGCAUGUUCACAUGAUUAAAGGUAUUCCGGUAGACGAUGGGGAUGCGUUCCAUUAGAUAGUAGACGGGGUAACGGCCCACCUAGUCUUCGAUGGAUAGGGGUUCUGAGAGGAAGGUCCCCCACAUUGGAACUGAGACACGGUCCAA
rnacentral:rRNA from 1 species